rnacentral:rRNA from 1 species
UGGGGAAUAUUGGACAAUGGGCGCAAGCCUGAUCCAGCCAUGCCGCGUGAGUGAUGACGGCCUUAGGGUUGUAAAGCUCUUUCGACGGGGACGAUAAUGACGGUACCCGUAGAAGAAGCCCCGGCUAACUUCGUGCCAGCAGCCGCGGUAAUACGAAGGGGGCUAGCGUUGUUCGGAAUCACUGGGCGUAAAGCGCACGUAGGCGGACUUUUAAGUCAGGGGUGAAAUCCCGAGGCUCAACCUCGGAACUGCCUUUGAUACUGGGAGUCUCGAGUCCGGAAGAGGUUGGUGGAACAGCUAGUGUAGAGGUGAAAUUCGUAGAUAUUAGCUAGAACACCAGUGGCGAAGGCGGCCAACUGGUCCGGUACUGACGCUGAGGUGCGAAAGCGUGGGGAGCAAACA